GCUUAACACAUGCAAGUCGAGGGGCAGCAUUUUAGUUUGCUUGCAAACUGAAGAUGGCGACCGGCGCACGGGUGAGUAACACGUAUCCAACCUGCCGAUAACUCCGGGAUAGCCUUUCGAAAGAAAGAUUAAUACCGGAUAGCAUACGAAUAUCGCAUGAUAUUUUUAUUAAAGAAUUUCGGUUAUCGAUGGGGAUGCGUUCCAUUAGUUUGUUGGCGGGGUAACGGCCCACCAAGACUACGAUGGAUAGGGGUUCUGAGAGGAAGGUCCCCCACAUUGGAACUGAGACACGGUCCAAACUCCUACGGGAGGCAGCAGUGAGGAAUAUUGGUCAAUGGGCGCGAGCCUGAACCAGCCAAGUAGCGUGAAGGAUGAAGGCUCUAUGGGUCGUAAACUUCUUUUAUAUGGGAAUAAAGUUUUCCACGUGUGGAAUUUUGUAUGUACCAUAUGAAUAAGGAUCGGCUAACUCCGUGCCAGCAGCCGCGGUAAUACGGAGGAUCCGAGCGUUAUCCGGAUUUAUUGGGUUUAAAGGGAGCGUAGGUGGAUUGUUAAGUCAGUUGUGAAAGUUUGCGGCUCAACCGUAAAAUUGCAGUUGAAACUGGCAGUCUUGAGUACAGUAGAGGUGGGCGGAAUUCGUGGUGUAGCGGUGAAAUGCUUAGAUAUCACGAAGAACUCCGAUUGCGAAGGCAGCUCACUAGACUGUCACUGACACUGAUGCUCGAAAGUGUGGGUAUCAAACAGGAUUAGAUACCCUGGUAGUCCACACAGUAAACGAUGAAUACUCGCUGUUUGCGAUAUACAGUAAGCGGCCAAGCGAAAGCAUUAAGUAUUCCACCUGGGGAGUACGCCGGCAACGGUGAAACUCAAAGGAAUUGACGGGGGCCCGCACAAGCGGAGGAACAUGUGGUUUAAUUCGAUGAUACGCGAGGAACCUUACCCGGGCUUAAAUUGCAACAGAAUAUAUUGGAAACAGUAUAGCCGUAAGGCUGUUGUGAAGGUGCUGCAUGGUUGUCGUCAGCUCGUGCCGUGAGGUGUCGGCUUAAGUGCCAUAACGAGCGCAACCCUUAUCUUUAGUUACUAACAGGUCAUGCUGAGGACUCUAGAGAGACUGCCGUCGUAAGAUGUGAGGAAGGUGGGGAUGACGUCAAAUCAGCACGGCCCUUACGUCCGGGGCUACACACGUGUUACAAUGGGGGGUACAGAAGGCGGCUACCUGGUGACAGGAUGCUAAUCCCAAAAACCUCUCUCAGUUCGGAUCGAAGUCUGCAACCCGACUUCGUGAAGCUGGAUUCGCUAGUAAUCGCGCAUCAGCCAUGGCGCGGUGAAUACGUUCCCGGGCCUUGUACACACCGCCCGUCAAGCCAUGAAAGCCGGGGGUACCUGAAGUACGUAACCGCAAGGAGCGUCCUAGGGUAAAACUGGUAAUUGGGGCUAAGU
rnacentral:rRNA from 1 species